rnacentral:rRNA from 1 species
GACGAACGCUGGCGGCGUGCUUAACACAUGCAAGUCGAACGGAAAGGCCCUGCUUUUGUGGGGUGCUCGAGUGGCGAACGGGUGAGUAACACGUGAGUAACCUGCCCUUGACUUUGGGAUAACUUCAGGAAACUGGGGCUAAUACCGGAUAGGAGCUCCUGCUGCAUGGUGGGGGUUGGAAAGUUUCGGCGGUUGGGGAUGGACUCGCGGCUUAUCAGCUUGUUGGUGGGGUAGUGGCUUACCAAGGCUUUGACGGGUAGCCGGCUUGAGAGGGUGACCGGCCUCAUUGGGACUGAGAUACGGCCCAGACUCCUACGGGCAGCAGCAGUGGGGAAUAUUGCACAAUGAGCGGAAGCCUGAUGCAGCAACGCCGCGUGCGGGAUGACGGCCUUCGGGUUGUAAACCGCUUGAGCCUGUGAUGAUGCGUGAGUGACGGUAAUGGGUAAAGAAGCACCGGCUAACUACGUG